CUCUCCAGCUCCCCCAGACCUCCCAUCCUCUCAGUCACGAGGCCAGACAAGUAUAAAACUGGCUCCUGCCACAUGGAAGGAAACUUGUUCUCCCCAGGAAGGGUCUGGAAGGGUCAUUUAGAGCCUUAGCUCCAACAACAAGCUGACUUAGCAAAAGGAAGCAAUGCCAACAUUGAAACUAGCCACCCAGAAAGAUGAACGAGUAUCAACCAAAAACACGUUAGCAAAAAUUUCAGUAACAGGCAUUAAAAAGGAGAAGAGCCAAAGAGAGAGACAGAGCAUGAACGGGGGAGGGGCAGAGAGAGAGGGAGACAC